UUCCUGCUUUCCCAGCCCCCCUUGAAACUUGUGGUGUUCUUGAGACAUAAGAAGUCCCUAAAGGGGCUCCUUGAGAAGCUUUCACCUUUUUGACAAAAAGAGACAAGUAGUUGGGAGCCGCUUUCACCAUCCUGUUCUGGCUUAAGUGCUGGCUGGCAGUGACCAUUUUGAUUUUGUGACCCUGAUAUGACAAGUGGAGGAAGAAAAGUUGACAUGCCAAAGGUGGUGGAGCAGAAAAAUUAAAAAAAAGUCUUCGCAGCUUUCUCGUCCUAGCACAGGAGACCAUCGAGGGUGCGUGCAUUAAUCAACUGAGCAGAAGAUCUGGGAGGACAUCACUCAACGAAUCUUCAAGAUACUAUUACCAUGUGCUUGAUUCUAAUUUAAAUAAUUUGGAGUUCUUAUAAGAUUAGGAAGUUUUGAAAAGUAGAAUGUCGACACAAAGAGAGUGAAAAGAAAAUUUGGGGGAGCAUUUUACAAAAUGUUUCUUCUAAAGAACAACAUGCUUUUAUAGGCCUGAACUGAUUUAAAAAAACUUAUUAGAUAUAAAUGAGAAGCAUGUGCUUCUGGUGGUAUUAUACUCAAAGGAUUUUAGUUAAGUAAUGUCUAAACUUUCAGAGUAUUUGAAAUAUACCCAGUUGGACAGUUAAUGAACCCUCUUCAACUUAAAGUAGAGAACUGCUACAAGAGAAAAAAAUGCACAAAAAAAGUUAUGGAAGAGACAAAUGGAUAUUGAAAUCUUUUCCAGUGUUCCCAUUCCAAUGAUUUUUAGGAGUUAUAGUUAAAGAAGUACAGCUUUCCUUCCAUCCCUGAAAUUGGUUUCUUGCAUAACACAUUAUUUUGAAUGUCAGCAAUAAGCCCUUGAACUUCUUUAGACCAAAGACCAAGAUUGAGAAUAGAGUGAAUGCCUAUUUCAGUUCUAGAAACGAAGGCAUCGUAGUAUAAUAGAAGGCAAGUGAAAGAUAAAUACAUUUGUUUUUCCAUCUGCUAAGACAUAACUAAAACAUUCUUCCCAUUUUUUCCUUAAUAUUUUGUUUCCUGGCAACUAAUAACAAAAAUUCCCAAUCAACCACAUCUUUCACAAUUCUUGGUUCUUUAAAAAAAAGCAGCACUAAUACUGUUAGUUAGAUUUCUAAUAUAUAAAAUUAUUUUCAAAAAAGUACUAUAUAUUAAAAAGUUAUAUAUAUUAUAUACACAGGCAUACAUACAUAAAAUUAUAUGUGUAUGUAUAGU
rnacentral:lncRNA from 1 species